GGAAAAUUUUGGGAAAGUUUCUGAAUUUUUUGGGAAAAUUUCUGAAAUUUUUUGAAGACAAUCCGUUGAUGAAGGCAUCCCGUACUAACUCUUAACGAUAUUCUUUGGCUGUGACAGCUUUUAGAUUAAAAUCUUUGCUGAGUCUGCAAGUCGCGAAGAAAUUUAUCCAGCAUUUGAGAAGGACGCUGACGUCUUGUGGAGAGCUGAUGUCUGGCGAAUAUCUCAUUUUUCUUUUUCAAACUCCGUUGCAUCACCAAAGUAUUCAUACACAGUAGCAGACACAUAUUUUGUCAAACAUUUUAGUUUGUCAGGCGCUCUGUCUUCACGCUCAUCAAUAAAAUUUUCAAAAGUUUUACGCCAAUGCUUGUAUUCUUUCUCAGCAGCUGGGGAAUUUGGAUCAACAUCAAGCUUGUCGGGGCAGAGUAUACGUUCCAUGUUGCUAGUAGAAUAUGAGUUGAAUUAACUAUCAUAUGAUAUCAAACACCUUCAGUAAUCAAGGCUUUAUUCAACUCAUAAAUUCAUAUACAUCUGCAACAGAACAAAGAAAAACCCAAUUAGAACGAGAACAUUUAAAGUAAAGCAUUAGUGGUGUUGUAUUGGCUCCUCUCCCCAACAACUCCCAACUGAGCUCCAGCCGCGCGCCUACCAGUCAAUCAGCGUACAGCCAGCUACGCCGAGAGACUAGAUCUAUGCAAUGGACGUAGGGGUACGAUCACCGACCUAGUCUUGACCUUCAACCUCCAGCACAGGAUCAGAGCGUUUCACACCUUACGCUUAAGCUGCUGUGAUUGGCCCUCUCGCUACGCUCACCCCGAAUCCUGAUCCUCGUAAAUUGUAUA